rnacentral:lncRNA from 1 species
GAGUUGGAACAUUCAUUUCAAUGAUAUGAUCAAAUUGUUUGAUUAGAUAUGAGAAAUUAUGGAUUUCAAAAGGAUCAGUGGAAGUGUCCAAUACUGACAUCGAUUAAAAUAUGAUUGAAUAUAGAUUUCUCCAUGAAAGACAUAAAGUGAGCAACCUAAAGAUCUAUAGAGAUAGAUGCAAUUGGAUGUUUGUAUUUUCACAAAUAAGG